CGACCAUAGCAAGGUGGUCCCACUCCUUCCCAUCCCGAACAGGACAGUGAAACGCCUUCGCGCCGAUGAUAGUGGAUGUACAUCUGUGAAAGUAGGUCAUCGUCAGGC
rnacentral:rRNA from 1 species